AGCCAUGCGAGUCGAGAGGUGAAAGACCUCGGCAUACUGCUCAGUAACACGUGGACAACCUACCCUAAGGAGGGGGAUAACCCCGGGAAACUGGGGAUAAUACCCCAUAGACUAUAGAUGCUGGAAUGCUUUGUAGUCGAAAGGUCCGCCGCCUUAGGAUGGGUCUGCGGCCGAUUAGGUUGUUGUUGGGGUAACGGCCCAACAAGCCUGUAAUCGGUACGGGUUGUGGGAGCAAGAGCCCGGAGAUGGAUUCUGAGACACGAAUCCAGGCCCUACGGGGCGCAGCAGGCGCGAAAACUUUACAAUGCGGGAAACCGUGAUAAGGGAACUCCGAGUGCCCGUUAAAUCGGGCUGUCCACCAGUUUAAAUAACUGGUGAAGAAAGGACCGGGCAAGACCGGUGCCAGCCGCCGCGGUAAUACCGGCGGCUCGAGUGGUGGCCACUAUUACUGGGCUUAAAGCGUUCGUAGCUGGUUUGUUAAGUCUCUGGGGAAAUCUACCGGCUUAACCGGUAGGCGUCUCAGGGAUACUGGCAGACUAGGGACCGGGAGAGGUGAGGGGUACUCCAGGGGUAGGAGUGAAAUCCUGUAAUCCUUGGGGGACCACCUGUGGCGAAGGCGCCUCACCAGAACGGCUCCGACAGUGAGGGACGAAAGCUGGGGGAGCAAACCGGAUUAGAUACCCGGGUAGUCCCAGCUGUAAACGAUGCGCGUUAGGUGUAUCGGUGACCACGAGUCACCGAGGUGCCGAAGAGAAAUCGUGAAACGUGUCGCCUGGGAAGUACGGUCGCAAGGCUGAAACUUAAAGGAAUUGGCGGGGGAGCACCACAACGGGUGGAGCCUGCGGUUUAAUUGGAUUCAACGC
rnacentral:rRNA from 1 species